AUGGAUUCGUCGUUGGGGAGCCACGUCACGGUCAUCCCCGAUUGGGUGGGCGACUUGGGCGAGUCCGUCGGCCCCGUCGACUACGGCUGCGUGCGCCGGUGCCGUCACCGCCGCCUCGCCACCUACCUCUGGCUCCACGGCUUCCGCGACGCCCUGCGAGGGCUGCUCAACGAGACGGACGCGUACAUGAGCGUCAUCCACCUGUCGCGGCUGGUGCGGCAGGGCCUGUGGGACGACGCCAUCGCCUACGUCUCCCGCUUCCUGCGCCCGACCUCGCACCCGCAGAGCGACGAGGCACAGGUGCUCCUCCACUUCCUCAAGCACCACGCCGCCUUCGCCAGCAUGGUCGCCGGCGUGCCCGACCGCAACCUCACCUACUUCAACCGCAAGUACAACACACGGUACCUCAAGCACGACGACUCCGUCUCCCACGACGCCCUCCGGAUCCGCUCCAUCGUCCUCUCCAUUCUCCACUCGGAACAAGUCAGGUCCUCCCUGGACUGGGAGCGCGUUCGUUGGAAGGCCUCUCAAAUCGUCAAACACUUGGCUUACAAGGCUCCUGAGUUGAAAAGCCUGGUCAUAUUGCCGGCCGGCUCAAUGAUGCCACACGAUGUACUUCCCAUCGGAUUCAGGUACCGUCGGAGGCGCCACGUCAAGGAACAAGACCUGCCAAGACCUAAAACACUGGCCAAGAUCUUCCUUAGGACCAAGAAGAGGCUGCCUUCGUCAACUCGCAGUCACGAGAUAAACAGGGGAUUGACAGACAAAACAAGGAAGUGGCACGCAGAUCUUAUUGAUGAAAGCUUGCAGGCUGGUCUGGAACUUCAAUCAAGUGGGAAGGAAGGUGUUCCUGGUGCUACAGUCUCGCAGACCAUGUCGAAUACCUUGACAAAUGCAGGUGCUCCUGUUCCUUCAGUUUCACAGACUAUGUCUGGUACAUUGACAGUUCCUGCUAAAAUAUAUGGUGCUGCUGUUGCUGCAGUCUCACAGGCAGUGAACUUGACAAGCCAUGCUGAAAACGCUGGUAUCUCGGCAGUGACAAAUGCAGGCACAAAUAAGGUUUUGAGUUCGGAAAAUUCCAAUCUCAGAAAGCAUCCAAGGACAGAACAAGCAGCUUUUGAGCAAGGUCCUCGUCCAAAAACACAACGGUCAAGUGGGGCUUUUGGUGAAGCAUGUCUGGCGUCGGUGACUAAAGUUGGAGCGUGCUCGCAGGCUGGUAUUGUCCUGGAAGAUCCUAAGCAUGAAGUUGAGCAAUCCUAA
rnacentral:rRNA from 1 species